UACAUGGGGUGCAAACGUUGCUCGGAAUUAUUGGGCGUAAAGCGCGCGUAGGCGGUUACUCAAGUCGGAUGUGAAAGCCCUCGGCUUAACUGAGGAAGUGCACCCGAAACUGAGUAGCUAGAGUACUAAAGAGGGUCGCGGAAUUCCCGGUGUAGAGGUGAAAUUCGUAGAUAUCGGGAGGAACACCGGUGGCGAAGGCAGCGACCUGGGUAGAUACUGACGCUGAGGUGCGAAAAGCGUGGGGGAGCAAACAGG
rnacentral:rRNA from 1 species